rnacentral:rRNA from 1 species
GUGCCAGCAUCUGCGGUUAAUCUGUUUUCUUUGCUUUUGUGUGGAUUAUGCGUAUUUAUUUAUGUGCAAUGUUAGGUUAAAUUUUUUUGUGACAGUGUGUGGUAAAUAGGUUUUGUUAUGAUAUAUAUGAUGACAGGGAUUAGAUACCCCAUUAAUGUAUUUUGUAAAGUUGUUCUAGUUUUGUAACUAAAAUGGUUUGGCAGUGAGCGAUUCUUAUUAGGGGAAUAUGCAUAGUGAAGGAUGGUCCACCUAUUAGUUUACUCUUUUUAUGUUGGUGUAUGUCUGGUUUGAUAUUAUUGUUGAAUAAUUUAAGUUUGUGUAGUUUUAGUUAAGCUAAGUCUAUGUGCUGCUUAUGGGAGUUUUUGUGUGUUACAUUAAUAAGGGUGUUAUUGUGAGAUGAUGUGAUUUAGGACUUAAUAG